UACGUAGGGUGCAAGCGUUUAAUCGGAAUUACUGGGCGUAAAGCGCGUGUAGGUGGUGGGACAAGUCUGCUGUGAAAGCGCCUGGCUUAACCGGGCGAGGUCGGCGGAAACUGUUCGACUCGAGGACGUAGAGGGGGGGUGGAAUUCCCGGUGUAGUGGUGAAAUGCGUAGAUAUCGGGAGGAACAUCGAUGCGAAAGCAACCGUCUGGGCCUGAACUGGACAC
rnacentral:rRNA from 1 species